rnacentral:rRNA from 1 species
AUUGAACGCUGGCGGCAUGCCUUACACAUGCAAGUCGAACGGCAGCACGGGUGCUUGCACCUGGUGGCGAGUGGCGAACGGGUGAGUAAUACAUCGGAACAUGUCCUGUAGUGGGGGAUAGCCCGGCGAAAGCCGGAUUAAUACCGCAUACGAUCUACGGCUGAAAGCGGGGGACCUUCGGGCCUCGCGCUAUAGGGUUGGCCGAUGGCUGAUUAGCUAGUUGGUGGGGUAAAGGCCUACCAAGGCGACGAUCAGUAGCUGGUCUGAGAGGACGACCAGCCACACUGGGACUGAGACACGGCCAAGACUCCUACGGGAGGCAGCAGUGGGGAAUUUUGGACAAUGGGCGAAAGCCUGAUCCAGCAAUGCCGCGUGUGUGAAGAAGGCCUUCGGGUUGUAAAGCACUUUUGUCCGGAAAGAAAUCCUUGGCCCUAAUACGGUCGGGGGAUGACGGUACCGGAAGAAUAAGCACCGGCUAACUACGUG